AUUUCAGAUGAAUGAUAAAAAGGUGUAACAUACCACUCAUUAACAUAAAAAUACACUUUCUCCUCUAGCAUUUCUACUAAAAAAAAUCCCAAUAAUUACAAACAAGGCUUAAGCUAGAAUAAACUGUAAUUACUCAAUAAAAAUCUACAGUUGAGAUAAUCUAGAGAGUAGGGUAACUUCCCUAGGGCACUGAAGUCUCUCCAGAUAAAUAACUUAGCUUAUUUUCCCCCUUGCUCUUUUCCAAUUCAACCUACAUCUAACACCUCCAAUGGGCAGGCACCUGUGCUAGGGCCUCGUAAGAUUCUGAUACAUAAGGAAAGAUAACGUCAGCACACAGAAUACAGAAACGUGCCAAGUAACAAAGCUGGAAGCAAUUUUUCACUGCUACUCGAUCCAGCAACUGAUCCGGACGUCCUUUUCAGCAUCUGCGUCGGUGGGACUGAGGACCCUCACAGUGCGAGCAUGUCCCUUCCACAGGGGACAUGCGUCUGACCUCCGGAAUGAUCCCCAGAAGUCAUCCUCACAAAGGUCACAACAACGCUGAGGAACACUCCACUUCCACCCCUUUUGUCAUCUAAGCACUCUGCUGUUGGUGCAUUACUGCUGUUUGACGAAAACCCGAUUCUCUCUCUGUGUGCCAGGAAGAAGGUGCAGCCAGCAUAAACCCACAGAGGUUUAUUUACUCUUCUUGUAAGAUAUGGAAGGCACCAUCAUAUAAGGCCACAUUUCUCAAAGUGUGGUGUCAGCCAGUUGCUUCAGCGGAACCCAGGAACUGUCAGAAAGGCAAACUCUCGGCCCCAGCCCACAAGCCCCGGUGACCGCAGGGUCCCCCUCCAAAUGCACACGUGGGGGGCCCGAGCCCCAGCGUGGUGGGGUCUGCAGGUGGGGCCUUCAGGAGGGCUGGCUCCGAAGACGGGGUCAGAACCCUCACAGAGGAAGGCGAUGCCGAGUCCUCUCGUUCUCCGCCCCGUGAGCACACAGCCAGAGGCAGUCGUGCGCCGGCCAGGGAGAGCCCUGACCGGAAACCCGCGCCUUGGUCCUGGACUCCUCCACCUCCAGAACCGUGAGGAGGAAGAAACGUCUGUUUCUCCAGCCAGCCAGGCGACGGUGUUUCCUUCCAGCAGGCCCAGGAGACGAAGGUGCUCGCUCACACGUCCCCUCUGCUGUGGGAACCCCACCCGGACCCGCGUUCAGAAUGCCGUUCCUGGCCUCACAGAAAGAACAUGUGUGGCCAGAGCACAGAAAGGAGUGGACAAGUGUGAAAAUUAAGAAUUUAAAAAUGUAUGGAUCUAGACAUUUCCAUCACUACCUAAGGAACACGGCUUCAUUUAAUCUCCUAUUAAUAGAUUUAGAACCUGGGAUUGUUCUCACCACCUGUGAUAUGGCAGAGGAGAUGGGGGGGUCACAUCAGAAGGGUGUUUUAUACGGGUUAGGGGCCUCCACUGCUCAGGCUGACCCAACCAGACAGGUCUCCAGCAGGCUCUCGGCCCCCUUCCCCAGCGGCCAGGCAUACUGCUGUCUGCGUCCCAAAGUCUCAGGCUCAGCACCAGUGUCGUUUCUGUGCCUGUCUCGUCACCCAGCCCUGGCAAUCCGGGAGGGCAGGGCGCUCCUCUCCCCUGCACCUAGAAGGGCGCAGGCUUAAAGCAGGAACCAGUGUGUGUUGAAGUGGAGCCACCGUGCUGAGUACCAGUGACAGUCUCUGUCCAAUCUUGCAGCUUUUCUGUAAAUCUUAAAUCAUCUGAAAAUGUUUUUUUAAAGGCAUCAGUAGCAAUUAACCGCAAUAAACAGCAAUAAACACAACUGUCUCACAUGGCGCGCCAGAAGACACUAACUACUAGAGAGCCCUGCCUCAGUAACGUUCAGACGUGCCAGCAGGACUUUGUAACUUCACUUGGAGAAAACUUGAAAAGAAUGACACCUGAGACUUGAAACGUGGCGUUAAUUUUGGUCAAAUUAUUUGAUCUGGUUCUCAUUCGGCAAAAAAAUGAACAGCAAUCGCUCCAAGGCUGAUGUGCUAACUGAAAUACAUAGUGUGUGUCUGAUGAGCUCUUCUAAUGGUGCUCUAACCCACACACGUGAGUGCCCUUCCCUGUAGAGACUGCGUUCCGACGGGAUAACGCCCCACCGUCGACCACGUGCACACAGUAAGGGGACCCGCCGACAAGGGCGUCAAGUCACACCUCAAUCACUGCGUAGGGCUGUGAUCACCUACAAAGCAGAAAAAUCCCACGUGUGUUUAUGGACGUCCACCCGCCAACAUGUCCUAUCCCAGAGCUCCCAAUGGAAUAAACGGGCUGUUCCAAGCUGCACGCAGCCGACAGGGGUCAGCAGCGCAGGCACCCGGCUCCCCUAGACUGCAGUCCCGAACGCGGCCGGCGCUCAGGACCAGCUGGCGGGAGGGGCCGUGGCGCGCGCACGCAGGGACCGGCAGCACCGCCGGGACAGAGGCGCGCGGCAGCCCGCACUGCCCCUCCAGGCUGGGGGCGGCGAGCCCCGAGAGGCCGCGGCCCACCCGGCCUCCGUCGCGGAAGUAGACAAGGGCGGCGGCGGCACAGUACGUGCGGCAGGGAGACCGAGUGGGCGGCGGCUAAGGAAACCGCCACCCAGACUGCGACCGACACCUGGGCGGCCCCGCGCUGGGGCGUAUUUGUGUCACUCUCGGAGCGACCGGGCGUCCCACGCCUGCCUACGGUGACCGCGUGCCACGAACACAGCCACCUACACCGGAGUUUCAGGUCCGAGUUCUUCCUGAACGCCGUUUGGUGAAUUUCCACGUGGGCGGUGAAACGAUUUAAAACUUCGCAUUUUCCGUUACAGUCAAAGGCAUAAUUUCGAUGACAUCUCUUCUCAUCCUGAAUAAGAAAUCACCCAGGCAUGGAGCUUUUAAAUAUAAUUGUUGCACGUGACGACA